rnacentral:rRNA from 1 species
GGACUACUCGGGUAUCUAAUCCCGUUUGCUCCCCUGGCUUUCGCGCUGUCAGCGUCAGUGUCGGCCCAGCAACCCGUCUUCACCUCAGGUGUUCCUCUUGAUAUCUACGCAUUUCACCGCUACACCAAGAAUUCCGAUUGCCCCUUCCGCACUCUAGCAAAGCAGUAUCAUCUGACCGUUCCGGGUUAAGCCCGGAGAUUUCACAGAUGACUUGAAUUGCCGCCUACGCGCCCUUUACGCCCAGUAAAUCCGAACAACGCUUGGUCCCUACGUAUUACCGCGGCUGCUGGCAC